AAAACAUUCAGAAAUUCAUCCAAAAGAAAACAGAAACAGGAGUUCUCCUACAAAGAGCCCAGUUCAUUCUCAUCAGCAGUGCCUGAGAUAGAUGGGCAGACUAACAGAGGGACGGACGGAUCUAUUUCAUGGAUUGGCUUCCAGUUUUGUGUCGUGGUCUCCACAAUCAGCAUCUUUCAUCCAGUUUGGGGGCAGGUGAGACUGCUAUUACAGCCGUACCCUGAAUAAAACUCCUAUGGUAAGGAGACCUUAUUACAGCAUGGAGGCCUUAGGAGUCUGGAAGGCGAUGGUCUCGGCUGACUGGCAGGAUUUUUCCUUUGCUGUGCAGGACUGGCGCGGUGUCAGAGGAGAUGGGGAAUCACAAGCCCCUUCCCCAAGAGGGGCUCCUCCUCUUUGCUAUGCCGUUGUCCAGGCAGAGCCGGGCUGACUGCGGGAAUCGUGCGGAUUAUCUCGGGACAGGGACAACGCAGCCCAGGGAGGAAAGCUGUUUGUGCGAGGUCACAGUGUUCGAGGGAAAACCUGCCCGGCCAAUCUGGACGUUCCUUCUCCGAGGGCAAGCCUCCCCUUUCAGUGGGCCCAGGAACUCUGCGGCCAUCGGGGGGGGGGGGGGGGGGGGGGGCCUUCUCAGAAUUACAAAAGGAACUAAUUACACUGAAAUAGUAACCAGCUACUCUAAAAGCUUCGCGGGCCUCAGCUGGGGGACGCCCUGA
rnacentral:lncRNA from 1 species